rnacentral:lncRNA from 1 species
GUGGGGUUUUGCAGGGUGCUCGCUCCCAGAGGCACCCCUCGCUCCAGGCCCGGAGGGCCCCGCAGGGUUGAUGGGUGACCGCAGAGGCCGAAGGGCCAAGGGCAGAUUUACGGAGGCGCGAACCUGGGCAUCUCUUGUGCGCUCAGAGCACCGCCGGAUUGGGGGGCCAUGGAUCUGCCAACUUGACCCUGCCAGCCUGGGAAGAUCGGAGCCUCAAGAUUUUCUGUGGCUCUAAGGACCUGGCCCUGGCCCCCAAGCUUCCUCUGCAUGCAAGCUCCCUGGAAAAACCUUCCUGAUCCUUCCAGCCCACCAUUUGCAUGAAGCUCCUGACCUCCCAGCCCAUCACCUCCCCCCAAUCCCCCCCUCCUCCCCAGCAACCUCUUCUCAAACAGGAAGAUUUUAGGCUGGGUGGAAGGAGGAAGAGCAAAUCUGGAAUCAGACCAAUCUGAGGCCAGGUGCCGCUCUAGCUUGUGACUUUGAGCGCUUACGUCUCAGAGCCGUUGACCAGUCACAAGCAGAUAAUCAGAUCCAAGUAUAGGGUGUUUUUAGGAAUUAGUGAGAUCCCACAGGUACAUAGGAGAGAGUCCAUACACCCCAGUUUGCCUGGGACGGUCCCAAGUUCCACCUGCGGCUCCAGCGUCAUUGUCAGCCGUGCCCUUUAUGCUCCAAAGUAUCCCCUUUAGAUUAUAAAUUAUAGGGUCACCCCAGAAAUAAGUAAGGCAGCAGGAAGCUUUUUUCCCUUCUCUUCCUCUUGCCCUCCCUUCUCUGAUGAUUCAAUGCCUGGCUUUGUUGCUCCAUUAGUCUGCACUCCCAAAGAGAAAAAUCCCAUGGGACACCCGGGUGGCUCAGUCUGUUAAGCGUCUGACUUCGGCUCAGGUCGUGAUCUCACGGUUCGUGGGUUCGAGCCCCGCAUCGGGCUCUGUGCCGACAGCUCGGAGCCUGGAGUCCGCUUCGGAUUCUGUGUCUCCCUCUUUCUCUGCCCCUCCCCACUCUCGCUCUGUUUCCCUCUCUCAAAACAUGAAUAAACAUUAAAAAAAAUUUUUUUU